UCUGUUUUCACUCCUGAUGGAUAAUUUAUUUGGGCAUAGAGUUCAAUAUCAAAUGUCAUUUCUCUUAGAAUUUUUAAUGCAUUACUCCAUCACCAGGAUUGCAAUUGAAAAAUCAAGUACAAUGUUAUUUUGAUUUUUGACUUUAUGUAGAUGAACUUUUUUUUUUUUCCUAAUUUUGGAAGAUCUUGGACCUUUCACUCUUGGUAUUUUGAUUUUGAAAGUUCAUGAUUUUGGGCCGUGGUGUGGAUUUUCCAUUAUUCAUUGUAUUGAGAAUCUGGCCAUAUCCAGUAACAGAGUCUACUGCAUCAUAUUAACUGAUAAACCCAGGAUGACAAGAG
rnacentral:lncRNA from 10 species